ACGGAGGGUGCAAGCGUUAAUCGGAUUUACUGGGCGUAAAGCGUGCGUAGGUGGUUUGUUAAGUCAGUUGUGAAAUCCCAGGGCUCAACCUUGGAAUUGCAUCUGAUACUGGCAGACUAGAGAUCGGUAGAGGUUAGUGGAAUUCCAGGUGUAGCGGUGAAAUGCGUAGAUAUCGGAGGAGCAUGCGAAGUGA
rnacentral:rRNA from 1 species